UAGCUUGCUAAGGCUGAUGGCGACCGGCGCACGGGUGAGUAACACGUAUCCAACCUGCCGUCUACUCUUGGCCAGCCUUCUGAAAGGAAGAUUAAUCCAGGAUGGGAUCAUGAGUUCACAUGUCCGCAUGAUUAAAGGUAUUUUCCGGUAGACGAUGGGGAUGCGUUCCAUUAGAUAGUAGGCGGGGUAACGGCCCACCUAGUCAACGAUGGAUAGGGGUUCUGAGAGGAAGGUCCCCCACAUUGGAACUGAGACACGGUCCAAACUCCUACGGGAGGCAGCAGUGAGGAAUAUUGGUCAAUGGGCGAUGGCCUGAACCAGCCAAGUAGCGUGAAGGAUGACUGCCCUAUGGGUUGUAAACUUCUUUUAUAAAGGAAUAAAGUCGGGUAUGCAUACCCGUUUGCAUGUACUUUAUGAAUAAGGAUCGGCUAACUCCGUGCCAGCAGCCGCGGUAAUACGGAGGAUCCGAGCGUUAUCCGGAUUUAUUGGGUUUAAAGGGAGCGUAGAUGGAUGUUUAAGUCAGUUGUGAAAGUUUGCGGCUCAACCGUAAAAUUGCAGUUGAUACUGGAUGUCUUGAGUGCAGUUGAGGCAGGCGGAAUUCGUGGUGUAGCGGUGAAAUGCUUAGAUAUCACGAAGAACUCCGAUUGCGAAGGCAGCCUGCUAAGCUGCAACUGA
rnacentral:rRNA from 1 species